GCCGCAGUAUUUUGACUGUGCAAAGGUAGCAUAAUCAUUAGUUUUUUAAUUGAAAGCUGGAAUGAAGGGUCGGAUGAGAAAGUUUCUGUCUCACUAUUAUUUUAUUUUGAAUUUUAUAUUUAAGUUAAAAAGCUUAAAUAUUAUAGAAAGACGAGAAGACCCUAUAGAGUUUAAUAGGUUUAUUUUAUAUUUAUUUGUAGGUUUAAUUUUAAUUAUAGGAUUAUCUAUUUGGUUGGGGUGACAUAAGAAUUUGAUAAACUUCUUAUAAUAUUUACAUUGAUUAAUGAAUAUUUGAUCCUAUUAUUUAGAUUAUAAGAAUAAAUUACCUUAGGGAUAACAGCGUAAUUUUUUUAGAGAGUUCUUAUCGAUAAAAGGGAUUGCGACCUCGAUGUUGGAUUAAAGUUAAUUCUUGGUGCAGAAGCUAGGAUUUUA
rnacentral:rRNA from 1 species